GAUGAAGAACGUAGCGAAAUGCGAUACUUGGUGUGAAUUGCAGAAUCCCGUGAACCAUCGAGUCUUUGAACGCAAGUUGCGCCCGAAGCCACUAGGCCGAGGGCACGCCUGCCUGGGCGUCACACGCCGUUGCCCCCCCAUCUACUCCUUCGGGAUUGCGGGGGGGCGGAUGAUGGCCUCCCGUGCGCCUAGCCGCGCGGUUGGCAUAAAUACCAAGUCCUCGGCGACGCACGCCACGACAAUCGGUGGUUGCGAAACCUCGGUUGCCCGUCGUGUGCGUUCGUCGCGCAUCGAGGGCUCGAAAAAAUGCUCGGCUCCGGCUGGGCUUUCAACGCGACCCCAGGUCAGGCGGGGUUACCCGCUGAAUUUAAGCAUAACAAUAAGCGGAGGA
rnacentral:misc_RNA from 1 species